AAGCAGUUAAGAAGAUUCUUCGGAUGAUUCUUAACUGACUGAGCGGCGGACGGGUGAGUAACGCGUGGGUGACCUGCCCCAUACCGGGGGAUAACAGCUGGAAACGGCUGCUAAUACCGCAUAAGCGCACAGAGCUGCAUGGCUCGGUGUGAAAAACUCCGGUGGUAUGGGAUGGGCCCGCGUCUGAUUAGGCAGUUGGCGGGGUAACGGCCCACCAAACCGACGAUCAGUAGCCGGCCUGAGAGGGCGACCGGCCACAUUGGGACUGAGACACGGCCCAAACUCCUACGGGAGGCAGCAGUGGGGAAUAUUGCACAAUGGGGGAAACCCUGAUGCAGCGACGCCGCGUGAGCGAAGAAGUAUUUCGGUAUGUAAAGCUCUAUCAGCAGGGAAGAUAAUGACGGUACCUGACUAAGAAGCCCCGGCUAACUACGUGCCAGCAGCCGCGGUAAUACGUAGGGGGCAAGCGUUAUCCGGAUUUACUGGGUGUAAAGGGAGCGUAGACGGCAGGGCAAGUCUGAUGUGAAAACCCAGGGCUUAACCCUGGGACUGCAUUGGAAACUGUCUGGCUCGAGUGCCGGAGAGGUAAGCGGAAUUCCUAGUGUAGCGGUGAAAUGCGUAGAUAUUAGGAAGAACACCAGUGGCGAAGGCGGCUUACUGGACGGUAACUGACGUUGAGGCUCGAAAGCG
rnacentral:rRNA from 1 species